GGGUCGUUAGCUCAGUUGGUAGAGCAGUUGGCUUUUAACCAAUUGGUCGUAGGUUCGAGUCCUACACGACCCACCA
rnacentral:tRNA from 1 species